rnacentral:rRNA from 1 species
CCUACGGGUGGCAGCAGUGGGGAAUAUUGGACAAUGGGGGCAACCCUGAUCCAGCCAUGCCGCGUGUGUGAAGAAGGCCCUCGGGUUGUAAAGCACUUUCAGUGAGGAAGAACGCCUGGUGGUUAAUACCCAUCAGGAAAGACAUCACUCACAGAAGAAGCACCGGCUAACUCCGUGCCAGCAGCCGCGGUAAUACGGAGGGUGCGAGCGUUAAUCGGAAGUACUGGGCGUAAAGCGCGCGUAGGUGGCUUGAUAAGCCGGUUGUGAAAGCCCCGGGCUCAACCUGGGAACGGCAUCCGGAACUGUCAAGCUAGAGUGCAGGAGAGGAAGGUAGAAUUCCCGGUGUAGCGGUGAAAUGCGUAGAGAUCGGGAGGAAUACCAGUGGCGAAGGCGGCCUUCUGGACUGACACUGACACUGAGGUGCGAAAGCGUGGGUAGCAAACAGGAUUAGAUACCCCUGUAGUC